GACGGAGGAUGCAAGCGUUAUCCGGAAUGAUUGGGCGUAAAGCGUCCGCAGGGGGCAGUUCAAGUCUGCUGUCAAAGACCGGGGCUUAACUUCGGAAAGGCAGUGGAAACUGAACAGCUAGAGUAUGGUAGGGGCAGAGGGAAUUCCUGGUGUAGCGGUGAAAUGCGUAGAGAUCAGGAAGAACAUCGGUGGCGAAGGCGCUCUGCUGGACCAUAACUGACGCUGAGGCACGAAAGCGUGGGUAGCAAACAGG
rnacentral:rRNA from 1 species